AGAAUAUUGCUUCCAGGCAAACAGUAGAAAGAAGCUGCUGACCACAGCAAUGAAUCCAAGAACUCGAAUCUAGAAAUGAUAAAAAGAAAUAAACGUUUAUACAGCAAAGACGUCGUGAAAUUGGACAAUCAAGGUACUGCAAUUGUUUCUGCAAGCCUUGAAAAUUUCU